AUAGAUGAACCUGUGGAAGGAUCAUUGUCGAGGCCCGCCGAGCAGCGAGACCUGCGAACCAGUGACCCUAACGAGAAACGCGUGGCUCAGGGAGCGCGAUGUCGCUCGCUCUCCCGGGGGACAACUCGAUGAACCACCACCAGCGUGAUGGGCACAAAGGAAUUAAUAUGAAAUGAGCGCGGCUCCCUCCGGGGAACUUACACAACUCUCGGCUCUCGCAUUAAUGAAGAACGUAGCGAAAUGCGAUACUUGACAUGAAUUAUAAAAUCCCGUGAACCAUCGAGUCUUUGAACGCAAGUUGCGCCCGAGGCCACCCGGCCAAGGGCACGCCUGCCUGGGCAUCACGCACCAUGCUGCCUCACUCGGCGCUUGCCACAUCCGGCAGAGGUAGCGUCAGGGGUGAAGACUGGCCACCCGUGCGCUCCACGCCGCAUGCCUGGUUGAAAAGCAUUCACUCCCCAAUCAGGGCGCGGAUGCCAUUGUAGGUAGUUUGAGAGGCGGCCGCCUCGUCGGAGCCCGGAUGCCUCGCCCGUCGCCUCUCGCUCAGGGAAAGAGUAAAGCGGCACCCAACUCGAUCACCCCGCGCCGCCCUCGCGGAGCGACCCUAGGUCAGGUCAUAGACACCCGCUGCGUUUAAGCAUAU
rnacentral:misc_RNA from 1 species